GACGAACGCUGGCGGCGUGCCUAAUACAUGCAAGUAGAACGCUGAAGAGAGGAGCUUGCUCUUCUUGGAUGAGUUGCGAACGGGUGAGUAACGCGUAGGUAACCUGCCUUGUAGCGGGGGAUAACUAUUGGAAACGAUAGCUAAUACCGCAUAACAAUGGAUGACACAUGUCAUUUAUUUGAAAGGGGCAAUUGCUCCACUACAAGAUGGACCUGCGUUGUAUUAGCUAGUAGGUGAGGUAACGGCUCACCUAGGCGACGAUACAUAGCCGACCUGAGAGGGUGAUCGGCCACACUGGGACUGAGACACGGCCCAGACUCCUACGGGAGGCAGCAGUAGGGAAUCUUCGGCAAUGGGGGCAACCCUGACCGAGCAACGCCGCGUGAGUGAAGAAGGUUUUCGGAUCGUAAAGCUCUGUUGUAAGUCAAGAACGAGUGUGAGAGUGGAAAGUUCACACUGUGACGGUAGCUUACCAGAAAGGGACGGCUAACUACGUGCCAGCAGCCGCGGUAAUACGUAGGUCCCGAGCGUUGUCCGGAUUUAUUGGGCGUAAAGCGAGCGCAGGCGGUUUGAUAAGUCUGAAGUAAAGGCUGUGGCUCACCAUAGUUCGCUUUGGAAACUGUCAAACUUGAGUGCAGAAGGGGAGAGUGGAAUUCCAUGUGUAGCGGUGAAAUGCGUAGAUAUAUGGAGGAACACCGGUGGCGAAAGCGGCUCUCUGGUCUGUAACUGACGCUGAGGCUCGAAAGCGUGGGGAGCGAACAGGAUUAGAUACCCUGGUAGUCCACGCCGUAAACGAUGAGUGCUAGGUGUUGGAUCCUUUCCGGGAUUCAGUGCCGCAGCUAACGCAUUAAGCACUCCGCCUGGGGAGUACGACCGCAAGGUUGAAACUCAAAGGAAUUGACGGGGGCCCGCACAAGCGGUGGAGCAUGUGGUUUAAUUCGAAGCAACGCGAAGAACCUUACCAGGUCUUGACAUCCCGAUGCUAUUUCUAGAGAUAGAAAGUUACUUCGGUACAUCGGUGACAGGUGGUGCAUGGUUGUCGUCAGCUCGUGUCGUGAGAUGUUGGGUUAAGUCCCGCAACGAGCGCAACCCCUAUUGUUAGUUGCCAUCAUUCAGUUGGGCACUCUAGCGAGACUGCCGGUAAUAAACCGGAGGAAGGUGGGGAUGACGUCAAAUCAUCAUGCCCCUUAUGACCUGGGCUACACACGUGCUACAAUGGUUGGUACAACGAGUUGCGAGUCGGUGACGGCAAGCUAAUCUCUUAAAGCCAAUCUCAGUUCGGAUUGUAGGCUGCAACUCGCCUACAUGAAGUCGGAAUCGCUAGUAAUCGCGGAUCAGCACGCCGCGGUGAAUACGUUCCCGGGCCU
rnacentral:rRNA from 1 species